rnacentral:rRNA from 1 species
UACGUAGGGGGCGAGCGUUGUCCGGAGUACUGGGCGUAAAGCGCACGCAGGCGGUCUGCUAAGUUUGGAGUGACAGUUGGUGGCUUAACUGCCAAAGUGCUUCGAAAACUGACAGACUUGAGGGCUUCAGAGGGACACGGAAUUCCGGGUGGAGUGGUGAAAUGCGCAGAUAUCGGGAAGAACACCUAUGGCGAAGGCAGCUCUCUGGGACGGUACUGACGCUGAGACGCGAAAGCGUGGGAGCGAACAGG